UACGUAGGGUGCAAGCGUUGUCCGGAAUUAUUGGGCGUAAAGAGCUCGUAGGCGGUUUGUCGCGUCUGCUGUGAAAUCCCGAGGCUCAACCUCGGGCUUGCAGUGGGUACGGGCAGGCUAGAGUUCGGUAGGGGAGAUCGGAAUUCCUGGUGUAGCGGUGAAAUGCGCAGAUAUCAGGAGGAACACCGGUGGCGAAGGCGGGUCUCUGGGCCGAUACUGACGCUGAGGAGCGAAAGCGUGGGGAGCGAACAGG
rnacentral:rRNA from 1 species